rnacentral:rRNA from 1 species
UACGUAGGGGGCUAGCGUUGUCCGGAAUCAUUGGGCGUAAAGCGCGCGUAGGCGGCCCGGUAAGUCCGCUGUAAAAGUCCAGGGCUCAACCCUGGAAUGCCGGUGGAAACUGCCGGGCUGGAGUCCGGAAGAGGCGAGUGGAAUUCCUGGUGUAGCGGUGAAAUGCGCAGAUAUCAGGAGGAACACCAAUGGCGAAGGCAGCUCGCUGGGACGGUACUGACGCUGGAGACGCGAAAGCGUGGGGAGCAAACAGGAUAGAU